ACUGGUUGAUCCUGCCAGUGAUCAUAUUCUCAGAUCAAAGACUAAGCCAUGCAUGUCCAAGACUAAACAAGUUGUCAGUGAAUCUGCGUAUGGCUCAAUAAACGAACCAUCACCUCCCCGAGAACAAAGUAACAACUGGAUAACCGUUGUAAUUCAAGGGCUAAUCAUGCGUCAAAAGGGGCUUCGCAAGGAGCUUCUGCAUUUGUUAGUCUCAAAUCAACAUUUCUUGAUGAAUCAUGACAAAUUGCGGAUCCUCAUGUUGUAAAAAACGGAGGACGACUCGGUCGGGUCUUUCCCCUAUCAGGUCCAGUAGGGAGUGUAUUGUACUCUCUAGCCUUUGACGGGUAACGGAGAAUUAGGGUUCGAUUCCGGAGAAGGAGCCUGAGAGACGGCUACUACAUCUAAGGAAGGCAGCAGGCGCGCAAAUUUCCCAAUGCUCAUCGAGCGAGGAAGUGACGAUCAAUAAUAAUGCGCGGGGUUUACCCUGUGCAAUUACAAUGAGUAAAAUGUACAAGCGUUUUCCAUGAUCAAUUGGAGGGCAAGUCUGGUGCCAGCAGCCGCGGUAAUUCCAGCUCCAAUAGGAUAUAUCAAAGUUGUUGCAGUUGAAAAGCUCGUAGUCGUAUUUCUGGUGGGUUAUGCUUCGCCGCUUGCUUGACGAAAGUCUGGUGAGCACGGGGCCGCCUGCCAUUUUGUGGGCCAACGUGGCCAAUCUGGGGUUUACUCCUUGGGUUGGUCGCGCCACUCCGUCACUGAGAGCAAAUUGGAGUGCUCAAAGCAGGCUUUACAGCUUUGAACAUUUUAGCUUGGAAUGACAAAGGAUGACUUUUUGUUCACUUUGUUGGUUAUGAAUAGGAAGUAAUGAUAAAUAGGAACAGUUGCGGGGGUACUCGUACUGGAAAGUCAGAGGUGAAAUUCUUGGAUUUUUCCACGACGAACGACUGCGAAAGCAUUUAUCAAGGAUGUUUUCAUUGAUCAAGAACGAAAGUGCGAGGAUCGAAGAUGAUUAGAUACCAUCGUAGUUCGCACAGUAAACGAUGCCGACUCGGGAUAGAGCACUCUUCGCUAUUAUAGAAAGUUCUCUGCACCGUAUGUGAAAACAAAGUCUUUGGGUUCCGGGGGGAGUAUGGUCGCAAGGUUGAAACUUAAAGGAAUUGACGGAAGGGCACACCAGAGGUGGAGCCUGCGGUUUAAUUUGACCCAACACGGGGAAACUCACCAGGUCCAGACAUGAGAAGGAUUGACAGUUUGAAAGCACUUUCUUGAUUUCAUGGGUGGUGGUGCAUGGCCGUUCUUAGUUGGUGGAGUGAUUUGUCUGGUUGAUUCCGAUAACGAACGAGACUCUCAGGGUAAACUGGCUAGGUCGUAAUUCACGUUACUUCCAGCCUCUUUUCCCGACAAUUCGUUUUAAACGAAAGGAAGCGGA
rnacentral:rRNA from 1 species